AUUGAACGCUGGCGGCAGGCCUAACACAUGCAAGUCGAACGGUAGCACAGGAGAGCUUGCUCUCUGGGUGACGAGUGGCGGACGGGUGAGUAAUGCAUGGGGAGCUGCCCAAUCGAGGGGGAUACCAGCUGGAAACGGCUGCUAAUACCGCAUACGCCCUGAGGGGGAAAGGUGGGGACUUUCGGGCCUACCGCGAUUGGAUGCACCCAUGUGGGAUUAGCUAGUUGGUGAGGUAACGGCUCACCAAGGCGACGAUCUCUAGCUGGUCUGAGAGGAUGACCAGCCACACUGGAACUGAGACACGGUCCAGACUCCUACGGGAGGCAGCAGUGGGGAAUAUUGCACAAUGGGGGGAAACCCUGAUGCAGCCAUGCCGCGUGUGUGAAGAAGGCC
rnacentral:rRNA from 1 species